rnacentral:misc_RNA from 1 species
GUAGGUGAACCUGCGGAAGGAUCAUUACCGAGUAAGGGUCUUCUAGGCCCGACCUCCAACCCUUUGUUUACCAAACCACGUUGCUUUGGCGGGCCCGCCCAUUUCGGCCGCCGGGGGUCUCACCACCCCUGGCCCGUGUCCGCCAGUAGCCUUUCUAAAUUCUUUUUAAAUGUGUUUGUCUGAGUCUUAAAAUAAAAAUCGUUAAAACUUUCAACAACGGAUCUCUUGGUUCUGGCAUCGAUGAAGAACG